rnacentral:rRNA from 1 species
CCUACGGGGGGCAGCAGUGAGGAAUAUUGGUCAAUGGCCGGAAGGCUGAACCAGCCAUGCCGCGUGAAGGUCAGUGCCCUAUGGGCGUUAAACUUCUUUUGUGCGGGAGCAAUAAUGGUCACGUGUGGCCAGACGAGAGUACCGUACGAAUAAGCAUCGGCUAACUCCGUGCCAGCAGCCGCGGUAAUACGGGGGAUGCAAGCGUUAUCCGGAUUUACUGGGUGUAAAGGGAGCGCAGGCGGCGCGUUAAGCCUGGUGUGAAAGCCCGCGGCCCAACCGCGGGACUGCAUUGGGAACUGGCGCGCUGGAGUGCCGGAGGGGUAGGCGGAAUUCCUAGUGUAGCGGUGAAAUGCGUAGAUAUUAGGAGGAACACCAGUGGCGAAGGCGGCCUACUGGACGGUGACUGACGCUGAGGCUCGAAAGCGUGGGGAGCAAACAGGAUUAGAUACCCCAGUAGUC